rnacentral:rRNA from 1 species
UACGUAGGUGGCAAGCGUUGUCCGGAUUUAUUGGGUUUAAAGCGCGUGUAGGCGGCUUCGUAAGUCCGUUGUGAAAGUCCAGGGCUCAACCCUGGAAUGCCGAUGGAUACUGCGGAGCUAGAGUCCGGAAGAGGCGAGUGGAAUUCCUGGCGUAGCGGUGAAAUGCGCAGAUAUCAGGAGGAACACCAAUGGCGAAGGCAGCUCGCUGGGACGGUACUGACGCUGAGACGCGAAAGCGUGGGGAGCAAACAGG